GACGAACGCGGGCGGCGUGCGUAAUACAUGCAAGUCGAACGCACGAAGUUGAAGAGCUUGCUCUUUAACCAAGUGAGUGGCGGACGGGUGAGUAACACGUGGGUAACCUACCCAUUAGAGGGGGAUAACAUUCGGAAACGGAUGCUAAUACCGCAUAGUUUCAGGAAUCGCAUGAUUCGUGAAGGAAAGGUGGCUUCGGCUACCACUAAUGGAUGGACCCGCGGCGUAUUAGCUAGUUGGUGAGGUAAUGGCUCACCAAGGCAAUGAUACGUAGCCGACCUGAGAGGGUGAUCGGCCACACUGGGACUGAGACACGGCCCAGACUCCUACGGGAGGCAGCAGUAGGGAAUCUUCCGCAAUGGACGAAAGUCUGACGGAGCAACGCCGCGUGAGUGAAGAAGGUUUUCGGAUCGUAAAACUCUGUUGUUAAAGAAGAACAAGGAUGAGAGUAACUGCUCAUCCCCUGACGGUAUUUAACCAGAAAGCCACGGCUAACUACGUGCCAGCAGCCGCGGUAAUACGUAGGUGGCAAGCGUUGUCCGGAUUUAUUGGGCGUAAAGCGAGCGCAGGCGGUUCUUUAAGUCUGAUGUGAAAGCCCCCGGCUCAACCGGGGAGGGUCAUUGGAAACUGGAGAACUUGAGUGCAGAAGAGGAGAGUGGAAUUCCACGUGUAGCGGUGAAAUGCGUAGAUAUGUGGAGGAACACCAGUGGCGAAGGCGACUCUCUGGUCUGUAACUGACGCUGAGGCUCGAAAGCGUGGGGAGCAAACAGG
rnacentral:rRNA from 1 species